ACCCAUGAGUUACUGUUGCGUAUGGGAAGUGGGUGAUUGAACAGUACGAUUCAUGUGCUUUCUACUUCGCCAGAAAUCUUCAACAGAAUGCCCAUAAUUUCCGCAAAGCUGAGUGUGCGUGUGACAGGUGCUGACAAGGCUGGAAAAGUAGGUGCCUCUUCGAUUUCUGAGAUCGGCCCUCGUGGUCUCUUAGCAGCCCAGCUUUUGAGAAAGCAAGCCUCUUCGAUUUCUGAGAUCGGCCUUCGUGGUCUUUGAGCAGCCCAGCUUUUGAGAAAGCAAACGCCUCUUCGAUUUCUGAGAUCGACCCUCGUGGUCUCUGAGCAGCCCAGCUUUUGAGAAAGCAAACGCCUCUUCGAUUUCUGAGCAGGCGCCUCUUCGAUUUCUGAAGCUUCGUCGAGUGCAGAUUUUUAUAGGUGCUGACAUUAAGUUCCAAAGCACACUUGAAUAUCCACCAGUAGAAGCUCCAUUCUUGCACUUCUAAGAUCUUGAUUUGUCCGACCUCUUCUCUCUUCAACACCUUUGAAAAUGUCUGGCCCCUCCGACCAUCGUUUUGACUUGAACCUUGUUGAAGAAGCAGCUCCGCCUUCUCCAGACAACAUAUGGUGCCCAUCCUUCGUCUCCCCUACUGGUCCUCUUACCGUUGGGGAUUCCGUGAUGAAGAAUGAUAUGACCGCUGCGAUAGUGGCCAGGAACCUUCUCACUCCCAAAGAUAACAGACUACUUUCCAAACGGUCUGAUGAGUUGGCUGUUAAGGAUUAUCUGGCUCUCAGUGUUCAGUGUGCAGGUUCUGUGUCUAAUAUGACCCAACGCCUAUUUGCUCGAACCCGCCAAGUUGAAUCAUUGGCGGCUGAAGUGAUGAGUCUCAAACAGGAGAUUAGAGGGCUCAAGCAUGAGAAUAAACAGUUGCACCGGCUCGCACAUGACUAUGCUACAAACAUGAAGAGGAAGCUUGACCAGAUGAAGGAAUCUGAUGGUCAGGUUUUACUUGAUCAUCAGUGAUUUGUGGGUUUGUUCCAAAGGCAUUUAUUGCCUUCGUCUUCUGGGGCUGUACCGCGUAAUGAAGCUCUAAAUGAUCAACCUCUGAUGCCUCUUCCUUCUAGGGUUUUGUCCAGUACUGAGGCUCCGAAUGAUAUCCCUCCGAUGCCUUCUCUUUCUGGGGCUCUACCGACUGCUGAGACUUUUCCUAAGCAACCUUUGUGAAGGCUCCCUCUUGUUUGUUUAUUUUGACUCAAGUAUAUGUACAUAUUUGUAACUUAUUGGGGAUAUCAAUAAAUAAGCUUUCCUUCAUUUCAACGUAUUGUGUUAAAUACACCAAAGCCUUCUUCGCUAAGUUCUUUGAAUUUUCUUUUGUUGAAGCUUGUAUGUUGAAGCUUUGUGAGUGGAGCAUGUAGGUUGAGGUAGUGUUCCCUUAAUUUCCCGAGUGAGGAAAACUUCUCGGUUGGAGACUUGGAAAAUCCAAGUCACUGAGUGGGAUCGGCUAUAUGAAUCUUAGAACGCCAUUGUGUUCUGUCCUGUGUCAUGUCCUCCGUUAGAUCCAAGUACUCUAAGUCUUUUCUUAGGGUCUCUUCCAAAGUUUUCCUAGGUCUUCCUCUACCCCUUCGACCCUGAACCUCUGUCCUAUAGUCGCAUCUUCUAAUCGGAGCGUCAGUAAGCCUUCUUUGCACAUGUCCAAACCACCGUAACCGAUUUUCUCUCAUCUUUCCUUCAAUUUUGGCUACUUCUACUUUACCCCAGAUAUCCUCAUUCCUAAUCUUAUCCUUUCCCAAGACACACAUAAGGGUCAAAAAUCCUACAUUUAGAAGAACCUUUGCACAAAUCUUUGAAGAUUAAUACGCUGCCAAAGCUCUCUCUGAAGAACUCAUAACCAAAGCUGAAGCUUUCUUUUGACCAAAGCCAAAGCACUCCCUUGAAGAAUCAACAAGCACUUGUGCCAAUUCUUUCAAGACUUUAUUGCAAGCUCAAAACUUGUAACAACGUUCGAUUCAAGAUCAGGUCGUCAAGGCCCUUGAAUCAACGAGAUCUCACAUCUACACCAUCUUUGCGGCAACUUUGAGGUGAAGACCAUCCAAGCAUUGUUUCAAGCUCAAAACUUAAAGCAAUCGUUCAAUUGUUUGUCUGAGAUCAAGUCAUCGCGACCCUUGGAUCAAAAACCUACUCAUCUACAUCAAAUUUGAAGACUGAAUCAGAUGAAAAUUGUAAAUAGAGAUUGUAACCCUAUAAAUUCAUCAAUACAAAUCUACUUUGUACACAUGUUCUCGUUUCAUUCGUUACAGAAUUUUCAUGUUUACACCCAGUUUCCUUUUUCUUUCUAACCCCAUCUGACCAAGCCACCAUUGCCUGUCCACCUCUCUCAUCUCAACCACCACUUCAUUUCUUAGUUUUUUUUUUAUAUUUUAAUAGUGGCCCAAUUUCUAAAUUUAAAUAAGUUUUCUAAUUUUAGUCCAAAAUAGAAUGCUAUUAAAUUGAUGUGUAUGGGAUAAAAAUGUUUGAUUCCUAGGGUGCAAUUGUUGCAUCGAACUAUCUUAGAUUAGACUAGUUUCAGGGACUAAGUUGGACUGGCUUAGAAUAGACUAAGUUUAAAUAAUUCAGUUAAGCGUUUGGUGCAUUGUCAGAAAAAAAAACAAGACUCAAAUAUUAUAUUAUUAAAUCUAUAUAUACAAUAUUUUCCCUUUCGCUAGAAUCAUCUUCUUCCAUCAUUUUUAUCUCUGUCCGUUGCCUCCCUCCAUUCUCCAUUUUUGUUGCCUUUUUCUCCCUCAUUUUCUCAAUACCACCAUCUCUGUCCCCUCUAUCUUUUUUGUCCCGUUUCACCCCCAAUCACUACUUUACUUUCCUCCCUCUGCUACACACGCGAUUGGAAAUAUCAUCAUAGGAGACUUGCCCCUCAAAUUCUUGAUUCCCAAAAAAAUCCCAACUCAUCCCUUUCAAGCUUAGGAUCACCAAUUCAAAUGGCGGCCAUGACGAUUUUCCUGCUCAGCUCAUUCUCUCUCUUCCCUUUGUUUUUAGUCCAAAUCCCUCCCUAUCUUCCCUCCGCCUUUCCCCCCGUCCAAUCACUGGACAGUAAUCAGAAUCGGGUUCUAAGAGUUUAAGUCGCAGGGGCUACAGUUAGUGAAGAAAGCUACUUGCGACAUAUAUGGAGAAGACAAGUGAGCAGCGAGAUCUAGUCCUGACUAAUACCACAUUUUCGGUUGGGAUUAGUUAGCGCCAGUAAGCGAGGCCCAAAGUCGAGGCGAGUCCUAGCUAGUGUCAUUAAAGCUAAGCCUUUGCUGCGCCAAACAUUGGACUACAUGAUAGGAGCAUAUUUAUGCGACUUAGUUAGCUUGUUCUUGUGCAUUUGUGUUGUUAUUUCUUAGUUAAUUAUGUAUUUUAAGCUAUUUUCAGCUAUUUUCGUGUGUUUGUAGGUCCAAAGGGUUAAUGUGGCAAAGAAGUGCAUUUUGGAGCAUUUUGGAGCAUGUUUGGGCAUGGAAUGGAUAGCUUAUGCUUGGAGCAAAAUGAAUGGACAAAAUUUGAAGUUUGUGCAUCAUCCUCUCUCUAUAAAUAACCAUUUUAGCACACUCAUUUCACCCAACACAUUCACCUACCACUACAUACACUCAUUUCACCCAACACAUUCACCUAACACCACCCAACACAUUCACCUACCACUACAUCCACUCAUUACAACCACCCAACACAUCCAUUCAUUACAACCACCCAACACAUUCACCUACCACUACAUCCACUCAUUUCACCCAACACAUCCACUCAUUACAACCACCCAACACAUUCACCUACCACUACAUCCACUCAUUUCAACCACCCAACACAUUCACCUACCACUACAUCCACUCAUUACCACCACCCACUACAUCAUCUUCCUAGCCUAUAAAUACAUUCAUUCACCCUUCAUCAAGGGGGAGAGAGAGAGGCUAUCAUCCAAAGACACCACAUCAUCUACACAACUCUCCACCCUUCACCAUAACUCACCUAUAUCCAUCCACCACCACAAGAGACCAUCCAUUCACCACUCAUACCUUGGUGCCGCAUAUUUGCAAGGAAGGAGGAUUGCUUGGAGUUAUGCUAGUCAUUCAAUUUGGAUUGCUGGAGCAUUCUAGGUGUAUUCUACUUUGGUUUUCAAUGUUUAAUUUAAAUUGUUUCUGUUUAAUUGCAAGUAUGAGGAACUAAACCUCUUUUGGCUAGAGGAGAAUUCGAAACUAUGAAUAUAUUUGCAAUAUGAAUUGAUUUCUUCCAAUUGUGAUUUGAUAAGUUGUGAUUGCAAUUCAAUUAUCUAUUUUAUUCAUAACGGAUUUGUGUAUGUUUAUUAAGGAUGCAUACUUAGUUUUCAUGCAUGAAUUUGAUGCUAGGAUAUAAAUACGUUUCACCUAAUCGUUACAAGUUUAUAUUCAUGAGUAGUGAAGGUUGCUUGUCACAAUCGCGUUAAUUGAAUUCUUGGCAAACGUAUCAUGCAUUCAUAGUUACAAUUGCCUCGUCAACGCUUAUGAUUUUCAUGGAACUUAAUGAUCUUUAAUUGUAUCUCUAUUAUGCAUUCAUAUAGGGGACUUUUAGAGAAUGAUUUGGGUUGUCGAAUGCAUUCAUCCAAUUCAAUGAGUAAAGGAAAAUCUGAGGGUUAAUUUGUGCAUCACGAUUAAUCUGGGGUGUUGAGCAUCAUAGUUUAUUGAAAAGCAAUUGGAGAUUGAUUUGUAUGCAAGUGUGUCAUGUGUGGAGAAAGUCCUUCUAGCUAGCCCAUCAUCCAUCCAAAACAACCAAUUUCGUGCAAAUCUGUUUAGUUCUAGUUUCUAUUUUGUUUUACUUUAUUUUCGUCCAAAACCCAAUCCCCCUUUACUUUAGGGUGUCUAAUUAGUUAGAAUCUGUUUUAGUUUGUGUUUUUAAAUGUUGUGAGUCUAUAGAGUCUAGUUAAGUGUUUUUAAGUUUCUUUUUGUAAGUCAGUUUAGUUUAGAUUAGCAAUCCCUCCUAAUCCCCGGUCCAGAACGAUCCCUACUUAUACAUAUACUACAAUUGUCAAAAGAGGGUUUAAUUUGAGUGCUUAACUUUCAUCGCAUCACUACACUAGCUAUUAGUCUAGUCUAAUUCAGUGAGAUUUAAGGAUGUCAAACAAAUACACCCCUAAUAGAUACUAGUUAUUGCUUGGAUUGUAAUUUAUGAUUUUUUUAUAUUGAUUUGAUCAGGUGAUGGUUAAUUUCUAUUUAUAAUAAAUAAAUAUAUAUACACACACACAGGUCCUUUAACACGGGGGAUUCCCAUUUUUCUAAAAAAAUAGGGACGCCCUCUUGACCAUUGGAUUGGCUUUAAUAAAAUUGUGUGAUUGAGAUUAAAUCACAUGCCAUACAAUCUCAACCACACAAUUUCAUUAAAGUCAAAUCCAACGGUCAAGAUGAUGUCCCUAUUUUUUUUUAGAAAAAUGGGGAUCCCUUGUUUUUGAACAUAUAUAUAUGUUUUUAGCUCCAUUAAUUGAUAUAAAUUUUUGUUUUAAUAAUUGAAUGUGUAUAAAUUAAGAACAUGGAACGAUAUAACACAUGGAACGAUAUACUCGACUAGUUUAAAUAAUGUUAUUUCAAAUAGUAUAACACCAAUUUUGACAGGUUCAAUCCGAUUUCGGAUAGUUCAACUCCAAUACUGGGACCACCCAAUGAUAAAAGUCUGAAUCUGCCACUGCAGACGAAGGGGUCGGAUUUUCAAAGGAAGGGCGAUGAGGGAGAAGGUUGGGUGGAAGGAACAAGGGUGGAUUCGAUGGAGGAGGGAGGUUGAAGGGAACAAUGAUAAAAGUCUCUCACAUUAUCUAUAAAUAUUGUACUAACUUUAAAAAAAUAAUAUAAAUAUUGUUUAAUACGUAUUUUACAAAAAAAGAAAUUUAUUUAAAUCCAUCUAGGCUUCUGCCUAAAUCUCGUAUAGGCGCCUAGCUCAGUCCGUUGUCUGACUAGCGCCUAACGUUUUUUAGAAUCUAAUCCUAACCAAUUUAAGCUUCUUACAUGACUUUGAUAUUACCGCUUGUGGAGACAAAAAUAAUCAAGAGGCGACAUGUGGAUUUUUAGGUAAAGAGGACAAAAUUACCCUCGAGACACACCGGGUUUCCUACACGCGAGUAGCGGAGAAUCAUCCAUCAACCGAGUCAAGAGUGCCCAAAAUAGGUAACAAGUUCAAAUUUAUCUCAUCCAUCUUUACUUCAUAUCCUUUACAAGGAAAUCAUUCCACAACCUUCAAAACCUUCCAUAUAAAUUAAAUUAAUUAGGCUAAUUAAUCCAUUAAUCACCAUUACACCCCAAUGCUCUAUAAAUAAAACUCCAUUUUCUUUGAAAGACUAAGUCCACACUCUUGCAAAACUCCAAAAACUCUCUAAACACUUUUCUCUCUAAAUUCUAACUUUGGCAUCGAAGGUUCUUCGACCAAAGCCCCCCGCAUUCAUCGUGGGCGCGUGAGGCUCUUGGCCUUGACCCGAUGGUGUUAAUUGUUUUGUAGGUGAUAGGAGCAUAUUUAAGCGGAUUAGUUAGCUUGUUCUUGUGCAUUUAUGUUGUUAUUUCUUAGUCAAUUAUGUAUUUUUAAGCUAUUUUUGUAUGUUUGUAGGUCCUAAUAACAAAAUUGGCAAGAAAGUGCAUUUUGGUGCAUGUUGGAGCAUUUUUGAGCCAAGAUUGGAUAGUGCAAGCAUGGAGACAUGAGGAUGGACGUUUUUGAGGAUUAGAAGGCUGGAAAUCAGCAUAUGUGUGUGCAAAUGAAACCAAGGAAACACACACACAUGGGCAAAGAGAAAAGCACACACACAUGCAAACCACGACAAGGUGAGGGUCUUUUUGUGCAAAGGUGACAAUACAAACACAUGCAAAGGAAGGAGACAUCAAACAGCUUAUACACAUGCAAGGAUGACAUUCACACACAUGCAAACUGCAUGGACAGGUUGGAGGGCAGAAAAUGUGUUUGUUUUGUGGUUGAAAUGAUGAGGAACAUGUGUGUGCAAAUGGGCAAAGGAAAGGCACGGUAUGGGCAGAAAAUACACCACUACAUUCACUCAUUACCACAACACUCACCCUUGUCCCCUUCAUUAUUUCUGUUUUCAUGCACCAUUACAUUUAAUCAUUGCACUCAAGUGGUGCACAUCCCUUGUCCCCUUCACCCAUCAGAUUUCAUUCAAUUUCACCUCCACUACAUGCACUCAUUGAUGCACCACUCAUUCACUUACUUGCCCAUGCCGUGCAUCAUGAAUCCACCUGCACAUAUGACUCAUUUAUGCACCAUUCCACCUCAUUUUCCUUUAUCUACCAUGUGCACAAUCAUUCAUGUUCCCCACUUGCAUUCAUAGCUGCAACACCACUCCAUUUCACCCCUCAUACUUUGUAUCAUUACUUCACUUUCACCUUUGAAUCAUUGCUCACACCACCAUCCAUCCCUCCAUGCUGUUCACUUCCUCUAUAAAAGGAAGUGUGUGUGGCAGCCAUUACAUUCAGUUUUUGCUUGAUAAUUCAUCCCCAAUUCAAUACAACUUUCAUCCAAACACAUCCAUUCAUCUUCACAUCCAUUCUUCCAUACAACCAAACCUUCAAACACUCAGCAACACCUUGUGCCGUAGCAAAGGAAGGGAAGGGAAGUGCUUGGAUGUGCAUGUUGUCCAACUUGGAUCGUUGGAGCGUUUAGGUGUUUUCUUUCUUUUGUUUUCAAUGUCUAAAUUUGUUUAUCUUUGCUUUGUAAGUAUGAGGAACUAAACCCCCCUUAGCUAGGGGGGAAUUCGAAACCAUGUUCAUACUUGCAAUAUGAUUUGAUUACCUUCAGUUGUGAUUUCAUAAGAUGUGAAUUCAAUUUGUUUAACUGCUUGAUUGAUAACUUAUUUGUGUAUGUUUAUUAAGAGUGCACACUUAGUUUGCAUGCAUGAAUAUGAUGCUAGAGUAUAAGGGAGUUUCACCUAGUAGUUACAAACUUAUAUUCACAAGUAGUGGAGGUCGCUUAUAAACGAUCGCGUUAAAUGAAUUUUUGGCAGGAGUUUCAUGCUUAUCAUAGUAACGAAUGCCUCUUCAAUACUUAUAGUUUUCAUAAUGCUUAAUGAUCUUGGAUUGUAUCUUUAUUGUGCUGUUCACGUAAAGGACUUUUAAAGAAUGCUUGAAUUGUUGUAUGCGCUUUCCCAUCCAAUUCAAUAACUUAAGGAGAACUUGAAGGUUAAUUUAAGCGGACUUAAUUAACCUGGGGUGUUGAGUUUCAUGAUUUAUCAAAAGAACAACUGAAAAUUGGUUUAUGUGCAAGUGUGUCUUGUGUGGAGAAUAACCCUCUAGCUAGCCUUCCAUCCAUUCAAUUUACUCAAAUUCGUCCAAAAUCUGUUUUAGUUUACAAUCUGUUUGUUUUGUUUUCAAAUUCGUCAAAAUCAAAUCCCCCUUUACUUUAAAGUGUUUUAUUAGUCAAAAUCUAUUUUGAUUUGUGUUUUUAAGUGUCUUGAGUCGAGUUAGAACCUAAUUUCGUCCAAAACCAUCCCUAGAGUCAGUUUAGAGUUUAAUUCAUUGUUUUAAGCAGUUUUGAGUCUUUCAAACUAGUUUUGAGUCUCUUUAGUUUGUAUUGCAUCUUUUGAGUCUAGUUUGGUGUUUUAAACUUAAUUUUAUGUUUUUAAGUCAGUUUCAAGUGUUUUAGCAAUCCCUCCUAAUCCCCGGCCUAGAACGAUCCCUACUUACAUUCUUUACUACAAUUGACAACAAGAGUGUUUAAUUUGUGUGUUAAGAUAAUUUUUGCAUCAGUAGGUGCAAUAUUGUCCAAGAUCAAGGAGGAAGAAAUUUGCAUCCACAAAUUGGUGCUUUCAUUAAGAGAAGAGUCACGCACUUAUAGAAGACUCUCGCAUAAAAAUGUUUUUCUCUAUUUUCUAGUCCACUUGCAUUUUUUCGUAUGUUCUUAUUAUUAGAAUUUUUUAUUUACAAAGAUUUUUUGAUAAAACGUAAAAGAGAAAUACAAUGGCUAGAAAUUUAAAAAAUUCCACGAGUGAAAAUUCCAAUAUUCAAGAAAUGGGACCGCGCGAUCCACGAGACUAAAUGUGAUCUUAGGUGGAGCGACACCACCACCACAAGGUUCCACCACGGGAACUACCGUGAUGGCUACCACGAUAGCCACCCGUGGCGAGGUCUAUGGUGUCACCACUACCACGACCCAAGCAAGCCCAACGCAAGCCCAAUGCGUUGCCAAGCCCACUCUUGUGGCCCAACCUGCUCCCGCCGAGCAACCCACUCUAGUGGCCCAGCCUGCUCCCGCCAAACAGCCCACUCCCUUGGCCCAACCUACUCCUGCGGCCCAGCUUACUCCCGCCGAGCAGCCCAUCAACCAACCACGAUCCGAGCGUUCUGACAGUUUACGCUCCCGCUUGGAUCCUUAGGAUAACGUAUACUCUCGUCUUAGCACACGGAUGAGCGUGCAUUCCCGAUCAACAUGGACGAGCAUACGAUCACAGUUAAAGUCACAUCUGAUUAUCAAUAUGGACAACCUUCCAAGCGAAGUGUUCAUUCACAACUAGGCUCGUAAGGAGUAUUCUCCACCUCACAUUGGAAUAGGCAGCACAGUAGAUGGAGAAAAACAGUCACUCAAUCCGACUCAAGUUCAACCGACAGCCUGAGAGGAGCCUGUUUACCUGCCAGAAACAUGCCAUAUGCAUCUCAGACACGACAUAGACAAGUCGAUCAUAGAGAAGAGUGGCCCAAACCCAUAGGUCAUGACUGGGGGCAGCCGAAAGUUCCACUGCCCCAGCAAAGGCAAAUUUAAGAAAAAGUUGAGAGGCUUCGAACUGAAUAAUUACACAAUUUCCAACGUAAUGACCCUGCUGAUGAUGCGCUUCGACGAGACAUAACCAACAUAAGCAUGUCACCAUUCACGAAUGAGAUCGAGCGGACGGAUCCACCUCGCAGGUUCACUAUGCAUCACUUCACUCCAUACAAGGAAAACGAAGAUCCAAAUCGACAUCUCAAGCAUUACCGCAGUACCAUGAUCCUUUACAGGAACAACGACGCGCUUAUGUGCAAAAUUUUUGCCACAACUCUACAAGGUGAGGUGCAAGAUUGCUCUACCACCGCAGUCGAUCCAAAGUUUCAACGAACUUUCCUUUGUUUUCAUUAAGGAAUAUUCGUCUAACCGCUCAAUCAAAAGGACAUCCGACCAUCUCCUCAGCAUCAUAAAUAACCCUAGGGAAACAAAAUGCGACUAUGUCAAGAGGUUCAAAGCUGAGAAGGCCAAGAUUGUUGGAUGCAAUUAGGACAUAGCAACGGCAACAUUCAGAAAUGGGCUUCCCAUUGAACAUCUUUUACUCAAAAAACUAAUCAUGGGAGAACAACUGGCCCUAACAGCUUCGUAUGCUUUGGUAGAAAAGCAUGCAUUAUGGGAUGAGGACAAGCAGUCUAACAAAAACGAGUCAGAAAAGAAGCACAUGGAAUGUUCCUCGACCAAAGAACCUGAAACAUUCACCAAGUUCACAGUUCCAAUCGGCCAAAUUCUUCGCAAGCUCAAGAACGAAACUUGGUUCGAACUGCCGCCACCCAUGAAAGGCGAUCUUACCAAGCUAGAACAUACAAAGUAAUACGCAUUCAAUCAAAGACCAGGCCACACCAACGACUGCCUAAAGUGAAAGCAGUACCUUAAGAAGCUGACAAAUGAGGGUCGAUACGAUGAGUAUCUUGAUAGGUCAAUGAAACAGCCUACACAAGCAAGGGAAGUCUCCAUCACCCCCUGAACCCAAUUUGGGCUUUUCUAAAUAAGUUUGAAGUCUCAAGCAGCUCGAUGAACAAGGCCUCGCAAGCCAAAGAUUAUCCAGUUUGUUAUGCAAUUUCUACCUUCCAGCACAGUUGAUUUAUUUCUUUAUUCUCAAUGAAGAUUCAAAAAGUUACUCAUAAGCCUGGCUCAACUGUUGUCACAAUAAUUGCUAAAGGGUUUGCUCUCAAGUGCGAGAGGAUAAACUAAUUGCUCUCCAGUGCGAAAGGGUAAACCAAUUCCCUGACACCCGUAUGGGUCUGCUCUCUAGUGCGAGAGGAUAAACUAAUUGCUCUCCAGUGCGAGAAGGUAAACUAAUUCCCUGACACCCAUAUGGGUCUACUCUCCAGUGCAAAAAGAUAAACUAAUUACUUUCCAGUGCGAGAGGGUAAACCAAUUCCCCGACACCUGUAUGGGUCUGCUCUCCAGUGCGAGAGGAUAAACUAAUUGCUCUCUAGUGUAAGAGGGUAAACUAAUUCCCCGACACCUAUAUGGGUCUACUUUCCAAUACGAGAGGAUAAACUUAUUGCUCUCCAAUGCGAGAGGGUAAACCAAUUCCCCGACACCCGUAUGGGUCUGCUCUCCAGUGUGAGAGGAUAAACUAAUUGCUCUCCAGUGUGAGAGGGUAAAAUAAUUCCCCAACACCCAUAUGGGUCUACUCUCCAGUGCGAGAGGAUAAACUAAUUGCUCUCCAGUGCAAGAGGGUAAACUAAUUGCUCUCUAGUGCGAGAGGGUAAACUAAUUACUCUCCAGUGCGAGAGGGUAAAAUAAUUCCCCAACACCAAUAUGGGUCUACUCUCCAGUGCGAGAGGGUAAACUAAUUGCUCUCCAGUGCGAGAGGGUAAACUAAUUACUCUCCAGUGCGAGAGGGUAAACUAAUUGCUCUCCAGCGUGAGAGAGUAAACUAAUUGCUCUCCAGUGCGAGAGGGUAAACUAAUUCCCCGACAUCUAUACGGGUAAGCUCUCAAGUGUGAGAAAGCCACAUAUCUUAAAAGAUCGAAUGCUUGAAGAUUAACUAGGCAGUAAAUGGUCAGGGGGCAGCAGCAACUUUUGCACUUAACAGUUCACUCAUCCUACACUUCAUCUUCAACGGUUCCGAUCUUGGUAUCUUUAUCCUUAACUAUUCCAUCUACGACAGUUGAGAAAUCAAACUCAAGCAGUUUCUUUAUUUUUGGCAAGCAGCCCAGACAUGGCAGCCUAAACCAUUGCCCAUGCCAUGCUACUUCCUCGGCCCAUGUCGAGCUAAUCCUUGGCUUCAAUCAAGCCGAGCAGCACAAGCAAUGGCCCCUGCCACACCACCUCCUUGGCCCAUGACAAGCCAAGUCCUGGCCCCUGCUAGUUGACGUGCCGCACCAUCCCUACAGCUGCCCAGUGACAGCACCUCCCAAGAAGAAGAUAAGGAGAAUUAAGUUUUCCUUACAUCGGUGCGGUGUGGAGAAGACGAAGAAAGCGAUGAAAGAUGGUCCUUUGCAAGGGCAAGUGUAGAAGAUUGCUAGGGGAGGGGGAACAAAUAUCCUCUAAGCUUUCUCUCUCUUGUAGGGUAGAAUAAAUCGCUCUCCAAAGUUGAUUUAAUAACCCACUUACGGUGGACUUAAAUAGGCUUUGAGAGAAAUUUAUUUCCCUUUCCUAGAAGGAUCUAAUUUCAUAUUAAAGAGGGAAUCUACAUCAAAAUAGAAAGCAGUCCUAAGUUUCCUAGAGCAAGAAGAUCUUUGCACCUGCUGCCCUUUCCUACGAGCAGCCCAGCAGGUGUGCGAGCAUUUGUAGAGCCAAAAAAUAAUCAAGAGGCGACAUAUGGAUUUUUAGGUGAAGAGGACAAAAUUACCCUCGAGACACACCGGGUUUUCUACACCCGAGCAACGGAGAAUCAUCCAUCAACCAAGUCAAGAGUGCCCAAAAUAGGUAACAAGUUCAAAUUUAUCUCAUCCAUCUUUACUCCAUAUCAUCUACAAGGAAAUCAUUCCAUAACCUUCAAAACCUUCCAUAUAAAUUAAAUUAAUUAGGCUAAUUAAUUGAUUAAUUCCUAAUUAAUCCAUUAAUCACCAUUACACCCCCAAUGCUCUAUAAAUAGAACUCCAUUUUUUUUGAAAGACUUAGUCCACACUCUUGCAAAACUCCAAAAACUCUCUAAACAUUUUUCUCUCUAAGUUCUAACUUUGGCAUCAGAGGUUCUUUGGCCAAAAUCCCCCCAUUCAUCGUGGGUGCGUGAGGCUCUUGGUCUUGACUUGAAGAUGUUAAUUGUUUUGUAGGUCCAAUAUUGUCCAAGAUCAAGGAGAAAGAAAUUUGCAUCCACACCGCUUACAACCGCUUUGGUGAAAAGAUUAUUUUUUGUUAUGAAUAUUGCUCAAAACUUUGCACUCUCCAACGUAAAAACAACCGCUUCGAUUGAACUUUGGAAUCUUUUAAAUUUCGGCCCUCCUAGCUUCGCCACUGCUAACCAUCCUCUUGUCAUAAACCGAUGCGAUACAGAGGAAUCUUUCGAGUCGCACGCGUUGAACAUUUAAAAAAAAUUCUGAUUUUCCUGGCUUUUGGUCCUUCUAUCUUUCAUGUCAAAUUGAAUCAAAUCAUCCAUGGCAUUCUAGAGGGAGGCAGAUUGUCUACCCUCCAGUUAUGAUGCCUUUCCCAUCCCCUUCUAUUUGUGUGGUCACGGUUAAGCCACGUCAAGAUUUAUAUUCUUAUUGUUUUUUAUCUUAUUAUCUCUAUAAAAAAAAUCAAUAUAAAAAGUUGAAGUAGCUUAACACCGUACAAAUAGGAGGGUAUGGGAAGGUCAUCAUAACAGGAGGGCAGACAAUUUGCCUUCGUUCUGGAGGCAGCUCUUGAACAAAGCUUUAGGAGGAGGAAGGGGAGAAGCUAAGGCCAAGAUUGCUGACUACCACCAUUGUUACCGCAGGUCGUCUCUCUACCACUACGGUUCCUUCUUCUGCUGCUGGUGGUAUUGAUGAACCGUUGCUGCCACCCUUCGAUUACGAGCCUCAGCCUUACAAUGGACCUCUAGCCGAUCAAGUAUUCCAGAAGCGAAACAAGUUUAUGGGUCCUUCCCUUUCCAUUAUUAUAAGAAUCCUGUAUGCAUGUAUGUUUGUUUGUUUGUUUGUUUGUUUUCUCUACGGAUUUUAGAUUUCGGAUUUGGGUUUUUAAAUUCCUUCAUUCGGGAUUUGAAAUUAGUUCCAUUUCUCGUUGUGUGCACAGCUCCAUAUUGUUGAAGGAAGAUGCAAUAUUUGUUCGACGAGAAUGGCAGGCGGUAUCUUGACGCUUUUGCCGGGAUAGUAACAGUUUCUUGUGGACAUUGUCAUCCAGAUGUUUUGAAUGCUAUCGUAGAACAGAGCAGGCUUCUACAGCGUGCCACAACCAUUUACUUACACCAUACGAGGCAUUAGCUUCCAAAAUGCCUGGAAAUUUAAAGUUGUGUUGUUCAAUUACUCACUCAUCUCAAGCAGUGCGAUCGUUAAAUAACUAACCUUGGUUUUAUUAUAAUUGGAAACAUGUGCUUCAUUAUUGGCAUCUUCGUCGAACUUCUAGGAUGCUUGUGCAAUCCAUUUUGUGUGCUUCAUUAUCACCUUUUUCUUGUCUCCAACUACUAAAUAGAUAGACGGUUAUAAAAUGCAGGUUGUUUACUUUGUGAAUUCUGGGACAGAAGCAAAUGAAUUAGCAAUGCUGAUGGCUUGUCUAUACAGUGGUAGUCUCGAUAUGAUUUCGUUGAGAAAUGCAUAUCAUGGGGGAAGUUCGAACACAAUUGGUUUGACGGCUUUAAACACAUGGAAGUAUCCAAUUCCACAGGUUUGUUCCUUUUCCUUCUUCUUGUUGCUGGAUAUCUGGUUAUAGCCCCAAAGUUCCAUCUCCAAGCAUGCUCUUUUUAGAAUACAUCAAAAUUUUAUAUGCUAUUGUUAGUUCUACGUAGAACCUGGGAAUAACUAAAGUUUUGUUCGGGGAGGUAGGGAAGGGGUUUCCGUUAAGUUAACCAGUUUAUCAAAUUUGAAUUGGAUUCUGAUUAUGAAAACAUGUAUGUCCUUAGUAUUCCAACAGCUGUUACCUGCGACUUGUGUGUAUGCUGUUCAAUCUGGUCUCGUGAUGUACACCUGGAGUUAUCCAUGAAUUUUUUUCAUCUUUCAGACAUAUUUUGUUGCUUUUCAGGCGCAACAUCUCAAAAUAAAAUUCUAUAAUGCGAUUAAAACUAUAUCUGAGUUUAAAUUUUUUCCCCAUUCUUAUUCAAAUAACAGUUGCACAUAUUCACAGUGGAUAAUGUCUUAUGACUGAAAAAACUUACUAGUCUAUGAUUAGAUUGUGUGUAAAUUUUCUAACAUAUACCUAUGCCAUGCACUGGGUACGACCCUCGAUACUUAUGCCAUGCACACAUUCGUCAAUCUGUCCACUUUCUGAGUCUUCAUUAUUUGGCUCCCUACUAUGUUACCCAAUUUAAACUAUAUAAUACAUCAUGCCAUUCAUCACGUUGUAAAUCCAGAUCUUUGGCUCUGAUGCCAACAGUUAUGCUAAAGAUGUACAAGAUCACAUUGACUAUGGAACUUCAGGAAAAGUUGCUGGGUUUAUAUCUGAAACAAUACAGGUCAGUACUUACUGUUGCUUUUAAUGUGGCAAAAAAUUGAUACAUAGAACGCUGUGUGAUGAGAAAGUCAAUAGUUGAUGGAAGUAUUUUUUGCUUUAUCUAACUUCAGGGAGUUGGAGGAGCAGUUGAACUGGCCCCUGGAUAUUUAAAACUGGUUUAUGACAUUGUUUGCAAGGCUGGUGGUGUCUGCAUUGCUGAUGAAGUACAAACUGGAUUUGGCCGCACUGGAAGCCAUUAUUGGGGCUUUGAAACACAGGAUGUCAUUCCUGAUAUAGUUACCAUGGCCAAGGUCUUUAUAUUUCAACUGAGAGUUUGUCUUUUACUAUUAAAAGGUUUGCAUUAUGUUUUUUUUGGUCUAUGUCAGUACUAUGUGAACUCCGCCUGUGUAAGUUUAUCUUACAUUGCCGGUCCCAAGCCCGGGUAAAGGAGGAGGGGGAGGGCGUCAGGUAGUCGACAACCGGCACUCCUCAAUUACGUCGAAUCCUUAUGAAAAUGAAUCUAGAACGAAAUCACGCUAAAACUAGGGCGUCACCCGUAAAUGGCGCGCUGUGUGGCCCGAGCACAGUGAUAAGUGAACAAGGGUCGCUGUAUCUCCAUCGGCACCCGGAUGCAGUGUUAAAUGAGCGAGGGGGCCAUAGAAACUUAUUUUCGAACGACUCCACUCAAAGUUGUUUGGGAGCAUAUGCUCCUAUCAACUUUACACAGGACACACAAAAGAAGUACUUUGAUCCUAUGGGACGGGGGAGGGUGAAGAAGCUAGGACAGAAGGGUAGAGUCCAAGAUAGUAGAAUGCAUUUAGGAACGUGGAAUAUAGGAACCUUAAUGGGAAAAUCUAUGGAAGUAGUGAAAGUUAUGGUGAGGAGAAGGACAAAUAUUAUGUGCCUACAGGAAACUAAGUGGGUUGGUCUUAAGGUAAAGGAUCUAGAAAACUCAGGGUUUAAACUUUGGUAUUCGGGCACAAAUAGAACGAGAAACGGUGUUGGCAUCAUCGUGGACAAGACCUUGACACAAGAUGUUGUAGAUGUCAAGAGGGUAGGAGAUAGAAUCAUGGCAAUCAAGAUUGUAAUAGGACAAGAACUCAUCAAUGUGAUUAGUGCGUACGCACCUCAAGUAGGGUUGGAUACGAGUUCGAAGGAGAAAUUUUGGGAAGACCUUGGAGACUUGGUGCAAGGAAUUCCCAGACGGAGAAGUUAUUUAUAGGAGGAGAUUGAAAUGGACACGUGGGCAGGGGGACAGGCAACUAUGGAGGUUUUCAUGGUGGCCAUGGUUUUGGGGAGAGAAACGAGGAUGGGGAAGCUAUCUUGGAUUUUGCAAUGGCAUAUGAUCUCUUCUUAGCCAACACCUUCUUUAAGAAGAGAGAAGAACAUGUGAUCACCUACAAGAGUGGGUCGUCAAAAACACAAAUAGAUUUUCUUCUAAUGAGGAAAGGGGAUCGUAUAACUUGUAAGGAUUGCAAAGUUAUACCGGGAGAGAGCUUGGCUAAUCAACAUCGCUUGUUGGUGAUGGAUGUACAUAUUAAAAGAGUGAGAAAAAAGAACAAGACUUGGAUGUGCCCAAGGACUAGAUGGUGGAAUCUAAAAGGAGAAAAACAAGUCAUUUUCAAAGAGAAAGUAAUCACCCAGUGUGGGUGGGAUAAAGAGGGGGAAGCUAGCCAAAGGUGGGAUUCCAUGGCUAGUUGUAUACGAAAAGUAGCAAAAGAGGUAUUAGGAGAGUCCAAGGGCUUUGCUCCACACCAAAAGGAAUCUUGGUGGUGGAAUGAGGAGGUACAAACAAAGGUGAAGGCUAAGAAGGAAUGUUGUAAAGCCUUAUACAAGGACAGGACCGAUGAAAAUGGUGAAAGGUAUAGAAGAGCGAAGCAAGAGGCGAAGAAAGCUGUGAGAGAAGCUAAGUUAGCAGCUUAUGACGACAUGUAUAAGCGACUAGAUACCAAAGAAGGAGAGUUGGAUAUCUAUAAACUAGCUAGAGCAAGGGAAAAGAAGACAAGGGACCUAAACCAAGUGAGGUGCAUCAAGGAUGAGGAUGGAAAGGUUCUUGCUACAGAGAAUGCGGUCAAAGACAGAUGGAGAUGUUAUUUUCAUAAUCUUUUCAAUGAAGGACAUGAAAGGAGUACUUCUUUAGGGGAGUUGAGUAACUCAGAAGAGUGUAGAAACUACUCAUUUUAUCGUCGAAUCAGGAAGGAAGAAAUGCUUGUAGUUUUGAAGAAGAUGAAGCAUAGAAAAGCAGUUGGCCCAGAUGAUAUACCGAUCGAAGUGUGGAAAGUCUUGGGAGAGACAAGUAUAGCAUGGCUUACUGACCUUUUCAAUAGGAUUUUGAAAACGAAGAAGAUGCCAAAUGAGUGGCGAAAGAGCACUUUGGUGCCUAUCUAUAAGAAUAAAGGCGACGUACAAAAUUGCAUGAACUAUAGGGGUAUUAAGCUAAUGAGUCAUACAAUGAAGCUCUGGGAGAGAGUCAUUGAGCAUAGAUUGAGGCAAGAGACAUGGGUUUCGGACAACAAAUUCGGGUUCAUGCCAGGGCGCUCAACCAUGGAGGCAAUCUAUCUCUUACGAAGAAAGAUGGAAAGAUAUAGAGAUGGGAAAAAUGAUUUACACAUGGUCUUUAUAGAUUUGGAAAAAGCGUAUGAUAGGGUCCCAAAAGACAUUCUUUGGAGGAUUUUAGAGAAGAAAGGAGUACGAGUAGCAUAUAUCCAAGCUAUAAAGGAUAUGUAUGAAGGAGCAAAGACUGCCGUAAGAACUCAUGAAGGCCAAACCGAAAGCUUCCCCAUAACUGUAGGAUUACAUCAAGGCUCAUCCUUAAGUCCUUACCUUUUUGCGUUGGUAAUGGAUGAGUUAACAGGACAUAUUCAAGAUGAUAUUCCUUGGUGUAUGCUUUUCGUAGAUGAUAUAGUGUUGAUAGAUGAAACUCAGGAAGGGGUAAAUGCGAAGCUUAAACUUUGGAGAGAAGUGUUGAAAUCUAAAGGUCUUCGCCUAAGAGUUCAGUGCAAAUAGAGGCCAAAAUGAGUUAGGGGUGAGGAUCGGAGAUCAGGAAAUACCAAAGAGCGAUCGUUUUCGCUACCUAGGAUCUAUCUUGCAAAAGAACGGAGAAUUAGAUGGAGAUCUCAACUAUAGAAUACAAGCUGGAUGGAUGAAGUGGAAGAGUGCAUCCAGCGUGUUGUGUGACCGUCGUAUGCCACUGAAGCUCAAGGGAAAAUUUUAUAGGACGACAAUAAGGCCGGUGAUGCUGUAUGGCACAGAUUGUUGGGCGGUGAAGCAUCAACACGUACACAAAAUGGGUGUAACGGAGAUGAGGAUGCUUCGUUGGAUGUGUGGGCACACGAGAAAGGAUAAGAUUAGGAAUGAGGAUAUCCGAGGUAAAGUAGGAGUAGUCGAAAUUGUAGGAAAAUUGAGAGAAAAUCGGUUACGGUGGUUUGGACAUGUGCAAAGAAGGCCUACUGACGCUCCGGUUAGAAGAUGCGACUACGGGACAGAGGUUCAGGGCCGAAGGGGUAGAGGAAGACCUAGGAAAACUUUGGAAGAGACUCUAAGAAAAGACUUAGAGUAUUUGGAUCUAACGGAGGACAUGACACAGGACCGAGCACAAUGGCGUUCUGAGAUUCAUAUAGCCGACCCCACUCAGUGAAGAAGGCUUUGGUGUAUUUAACACAAUACGUUGAAAUGAAGCAAAGCUUAUUUAUUGAUAUCUCCGAUAAGUUACAAAUAUGUACAUAUACAUGAGUCAAAAUAAACAAAUAAGAGGGAGCCUUCACAAAGGUUGCUUAGGAGAAGUCUCAGCAGUCGGUAGAGCCCCAGAAAGAAAAGGCAUCGGAGGGGGAUCAUUCAGAGCCUCAGUACUGGACAGAACCCUAGAAGGAGGAGGCAUCAGAGGUUGAUCAUUUGGAGCUUCAUUACGCGGUACAGCCCCAGAAGACAACAACAACAACAACAACAACAACAAAGCCUUUUCCCACUAAGUGGGGUCGGCUAUAUGAAUCCUAGAACGCCAUUACGCUCGGUUUUGUGUCAUGUCCUCCGUUAGAUCCAAGUACUCUAAGUCUUUUCUUAGAGUCUCUUCCAAAGUUUUCCUAGGUCUUCCUCUACCCCUUCGGCCCUGAACCUCUGUCCCGUAGUCACAUCUUCGAACCGGAGCGUCAUUCGGCCUUCUUUGCACAUGUCCAAAUCACCGGAGCCGAUUUUCUCUCAUCUUUCCUACAAUUUCGGCUACUCCUACUUUACCUCGGAUAUCCUCAUUCCCAAUCUUAUCCUUUCUCGUGUGCCCACACAUCCCACGAAGCAUCCUCAUCUCCGCUACACCCAUUUUGUGUACGUGUUGAUGCUUCACCGCCCAACAUUCUGUGCCAUACAACAUCGCUGGCCUUAUUGCCGUCCUAUAAAAUUUUCCCUUGAGCUUCAGUGGCCUACGACGGUCACACAACAUGCCGGAUGCAUUCUUACACUUCAUCCAUCCAGCUCGUAUUCUAUGGUUGAGAUCUCCAUCUAAUUCUCCGUUCUCUUGCAAGAUAGAUUCUAGGUAGCGAAAACGGUCGCUUUUUGUGAUCUUCGCUAGAUUGCUCCGGUCAUUAGUGUGGAUAAGUAUAUAAAUGGAUAGAGAUAGGAAAGCAAACACAAGAUGUACGUGGUUCACCCAUAUUGGCUACGUCCACGGAAUAGAAGAGUUCUCAUUAAUUGUGAAGGGUUUACACAAGUACAUAGGUUCAAGCUCUCCUUUAGUGAGUAUAAAAGUGAAUGAUUUAGUACAAAUGACAUUAGGAAAUAUUGUGGGAGAAUGAUCUCGUAAUCACGAAACUUCUAAGUAUCGGAGUGUGGAGUCGUCUUGACUUGCCUUAUCUGUCUCAUAGGUAGAUGUGGCAUCUUCUCUGGAAGUACUCUUCCUCCAUCCAGGGGUGGUAUCUUUAACUGGUGGAGAUGCACAAGGUAAUGUAUCAAUUUCACUUGAAGCUUACUUGUAGUUUCAGGCUUGGUCAAGCGCGAUACAAACCAUGUAGUAGGAGUCCCCCAAGUCGCCGAGCUAGGGGGUCUGCUGAAAAAGGUGACAGACAAGGUAAGCAAUCAGAGCUCCGACUGAUUGUUCACAUUCUCCCCAUCUUGCAGCAGCAUGAAGGAUAAAGAGAAGAAAAAUGAGAAGAGAUGAUAUGAGAUACUUUUGCUUUUGAAGAAGUAACUUUCCACAGGCUUAUUCUUGAACUGAGCUGGAGGGUUUUCUGGUUUCCUCCAGAGUAUAAGGCCGACUGAAGAAUUUGAGGGUCAAAACAAGUCCAUCAAAUCUAGAGUACGUUCCCACCCUGCUGAUAUGGGAUACUUUUGCUUUUGACAGAGUAAUGGAUGUAUCGGCACGUGUGCUGUUACGCUUGUCUCCACAUGCUUCCUUGUAUCCUUCGCACUUGCCCUAUCUGUUCCUCAAGCAAAUGCGGAAUCUUCCCUGGAAACAUAAGAUGUUGAAGAUGAGUACUCGAGAGCAAUGCCAGGUAAGUAAUCAGGUAAGGGGUUCCAGGCAGUCAGUUCCUGGCUGGAAGCUUGAUUCCAAGUGCUGACUGAUUGCUCUCUUUCUCCUUGUCUUGCAGGUAAAAACAAGGCCAAAGGAAAAGACAGGGAAAAAGCAUGAUAUGGGAUACUCUUGCUUUUAACCCUGAUGAUAUGAGAUAUUCUUGCUCUAGUAUAGCUUGUUUGCAGAGGUAUUAUCGGGGGGAAAGAAAGCUGAAUAUUUCGAAAGGCUUCGUUGGGAGUGCCCUCUCAGAUAUGAUGAAGGGUUGAGCAUUUUUGCAGGUCUGCCUGUCCGUUGGGGAUGGAGGUCGACAUAUAUAGGAGUCUCCCUAACAACAAGUAGUAAUGCUAUUCCUUUACCCUGCUUGGUCAUAGCACGGUAGUGGGAGCUGCCAGUUUCACAUGUUUUAACUCUGUCAGAGCACUUUGAAAAAGUGGUCUGUGGUAUCUGGCUCUCGAGAUUCGGAGAACGAUGCCUCUUCGAUUUUUGAGAAAGCAAUCAUGCUGGGGGUCUGGCUCUCGAGAUUCAGGAGAGCAGUGUCUCUUCGAUUUUUGAGGAAGUAAUCAUGUUGGGAGUCUGGCUCUCGAAGAUUCGGAGGGCGGUGCCUCUUCGAUUUUGGAGCAAGCAAUCUUGUUGGGAGUGUUGUCUCGAAUGUGAGUAAAGGUUGGGCAUGUUUGCUAGUCUACCUUGCCACGAAGCACAAAGGUUGACACACAGGGACUUUCCAAUUAUCCAGCAAUGGUACUGUUCCUUUACCCUCUCUUCGAUUUUGAGAAAGUAGUCAUGUUGGGAGUCUGGCUCUCGAGAUUCGGAGGACGGUGCCUCUUCGAUUUUGGAGCAAGCAAUCUUGUUGGGAGUGUUUUUCUCGAAUGUGAGUAAAGGUUGGGCAUGUUUGCUAGUCUACCUUGCCACGAAGCACAGAGGUUGACACACAGGGACUUUUCCAAAUUAUCCAGCAGUGGUACUGUUCCUUUACUCCUUGUGGGUAAUAAUAUGGUAGCUAGACCUUCAAAAUUUAUGUGUCUAAACUUUGUUAGUGCUGUUUCUUUGCUAUUCUUUUACCUUUCUUGGUCAGAGCGAUGUAGUGGGAGCUGCAAGCUUCACGUGCUCAACUUUGGCAGAGAACUUUGGCAAAGUUAUCUGUGGUACCCAUGAGCUAUUGUUGCGUGUGGGAAGUGGGUGAUUGAACAGUAAGAUUCAUGUGCUUUCUACUUCACCAGAAGUCUUCGACAGAAUGCCCAUAAUUUCUGCAAAGCUGAGUGUGCGUGUGACAGGUGCUGACAAGGCUAGAAAAAGUAGGUGCCUCUUCGAUUUCUGAGAUCGGCCCUCGUGGUCUCUGAGCAGCCCAGCUUUUGAGAAAGCGAGCGCCUCUUCGAUUGAUUCGGAGAACGAUGCCUCAUCGAUUUUUGAGAAAGCAAUCAUGCUGGGGGUCUGGCUCUCGA
rnacentral:lncRNA from 1 species